UUGGAAGUGGGAGGGGUGAUGUAACCCCAGCAAAGUUUUGAAAUAGAGCCGUUAGCAAAAGUCCGGGAAGGGCCCUGGUCUUGGCUGAGAGGCUUGGAUAAAAGUGGGGGAUCAGUUUUCCCGUGGGAGAGAACAAGAGAGAGGGGCUGAGGGACAGGCUGGAGACCGGAUUUAAAAUCUCAACACAGUGGUCCCUUGGAGAGCCCCUGGGAGUGCUCUGCUGAAGCUGCAGCAGAGGCUGAAACGGGAGUGACAGUUUCCAGUUCUCUCCGGCCCAGGAGGCUGUGGCGGCAGAAUUAGGCAGGACUGCUUGUUUGGAGACUCCAAGUCUGCGAAGACCUGACUGCAGCCCGAUGUGGCUGGGUGAGCACAGUAGAGCCGGGGGGUGGGGAACUGCCGGAGUCUGCCCUAGUUUCCCUGAUGGUUGAGGGGCCCCAAGGGCAGGCAAAGCCCAGGGAGAGGCUGCGUUUGGCGGAGCUGUGAGGCUGUGCAGGACAGUAGGGUUGCUACAGCCUGCAGCCCAGACACUGCUCCCAGCAGAGCGGGGGAAGCGGUCAAAGGCAGGGGAAAGCUGUCUUGCAGGAACUGCAGAGGAGUUGCCGCUUGCUGCCCGGAGAUCCCAGGAGCACGGAGACGGAUGCCAGUGCCAGGGAGCGUCCACAAACCAAGUGCAGGGACACAUACAGUCCCACUCCCUGAGAUACCCUGCCAGGGGCAGUGCACACAGGAUCCCUAGUACACCGUGUGCAAGAGGUGUGGGGAGAGCAACUAAAAAACCAAGAAAAUAAAUAGAACAUAUAAGUAGCCUUUAACUCUACAAAGUACUGCAAUGCAUAGGUUUGUCUUCUAUAAAGUAAGAUCCUAUUAUCAUGAAGUCCUAUUUUCAGAUACAUUAUCAGUUUUCUAGCUAAUGUGUUCAAGGGACAUUUUCCCAACCUUCUCUACGAUUUUUUAGGCCCAGGAUGAUAUUACUAGUCAAAAGCAGAAGCAGACAGACAGACUUGCUCAAUCUAAAAUACCCAGUCCCUUCUUGAUCCUCAUCACCCCAUAUUCCAGAUGAGCCUAUGAACUGCACUUCAUCAACCUCCUGCAUACAGAAACUCAUGGACUCAAUCUAGAC